GACGAACGCUGGCGGCGUGCCUAAUACAUGCAAGUAGAACGCACAGUUUAUACCGUAGCUUGCUACACCAUAGACUGUGAGUUGCGAACGGGUGAGUAACGCGUUGGUAACCUGCCUGGUAGCGGGGGGUAACUCUUGGAAACGAUAGCUAAUACAGCAUAAUAUUGAUUAUUGCAUGAUAAUUGAUUGAAAGAUGCUAUUGCAUCACUACCAGCUGGACCUGCGUUGUAUUAGCUAGUAGGUGAGGUAACGGCUCACCUAGGCGAAGAUACAUAGCCGACCUGGAAGGGUGAACGGCCACAAUGGGACUGGGACACGGCCCAGAAUCCUACGGGAGGCAGCAGUAGGGAAUCUUCGGGAAUGGACGAAAGUCUGACCGGGCAAAGGCGCGUGAGUGAAGAAGGUUUUCGGAUCGUAAAGCUCUGUUGUAAGGGAAGAACGGGUGUGAGAGUGGAAAGUGCACACUGUGACGGUAUCUUACCAGAAAGGGACGGCUAACUACGUG
rnacentral:rRNA from 1 species